UACGAAGGGGGCUAGCGUUGCUCGGAAUCACUGGGCGUAAAGCGCACGUAGGCGGCUUUUUAAGUCAGAGGUGAAAUCCUGGAGCUCAACUCCAGAACUGCCUUUGAUACUGAGGAUCUUGAGUUCGGGAGAGGUGAGUGGAACUGCGAGUGUAGAGGUGAAAUUCGUAGAUAUUCGCAAGAACACCAGUGGCGAAGGCGGCUCACUGGCCCGAUACUGACGCUGAGGCACGAAAGCUAGGGGAGCAAACAGG
rnacentral:rRNA from 1 species